UACAGAGGGUGCAAGCGUUAUCCGGAAUUACUGCGCGUAAAGCGUCUGCAGGUGGACUUUUAAGUCCUUUGUUAAAGCCUGAGGCUUAACCUCAGAUCAGCAAAGGAAACUAGAAGUCUAGAGGGUGGUAGAGGUAGAGGGAAUUUCCAGUGGAGCGGUGAAAUGCGUAGAUAUUGGAAAGAACGCCAAUGGCGAAAGCACUCUACUGGGCCAUUACUGACCCUCAGAGACGAAAGCUAGGGGAGCAAAUGGG
rnacentral:rRNA from 1 species